UUCCUGGAGAAGAAAACUAACAUGUUAGGACCUACUGUGUGCUAAGCUUCAUGCUAGACACUUUGCAUAUAUGAUCUCAUUUAAUCUCAAAUGACCUUGCAACAUAGGCAUAAUCUCAAUUUAUUCUAAAAAUUUCUAGGCUACCAAUGACAGAAGAAAUGAGGCUUCCAAACCUGUAGUUCUCAGAAUCUUUUCCUCUCAGUGCUCUGUGGAAUGCUCUGACAACAACCUAUGAACUUCUCUGACUCUCACAUCCCACAUCCAAUCUGGCAGCAAAUCCUUUGGGCUUUAUCUUUAAAUUAUAUUCAGAAUUCAACCAUUGCCACCACAGCCCCCCACCCCAUCUGAGUUAUCAUUCAGCAUGUACUAUCAUAUCCUACCUGGAUUAAGUCAGGCUUCCCUGAGUCUGCUCUUGACCCUACAGUCUGUUUUCAUUGGAGCAUAGUGAUCCUUUUAAAAUCCAAGUCAGAUGAUGUUACUCUUCUGCUCUCCUACGGUUUCUUCCCAUCUUAUUCAGAGUAAAACCCAAAAUCUUGACAAUGACCUACAAGGCUCUUCACUAUCCACUAUGAAAGCCAUAUUUAAAUUUAAAUUUAGGUAUACUAAAAUUAAAUACAAUUAAGAAUUCACACUAGUCCCAUUUAAAGUGCUCAGUAGCCCCACUGUGGCUAGUGCCUACCGUAUUGGAGAGCAUAGAUACAGAACAUUUCUAUCAUUACAGAAAGUUCUAUUGAAUGGCACUGGGAUCUGCUUUCUCAUUAUCUCUCUGGCCCUGUUUCUCACUUCUUUCUCCCUUGCUUACUCCAUUCCAGCUACAAGAAGCUCCUAACAGCUUCUUAAACCUUUGUGCCUUAGAACUUUUGAACAUGUUUUAUCCUCUGCCUGAAACAUUCUAUCUCUAGAUAACAACAUGCCUUGAUUUUUUAGAAACUUUAGGUCCUUGCUCAAGUGACACCUUCUGUGACAACCUGUUUAAUCUGCAGCUCCCUGGUACUCUUCCCAUUCCUCUCCUCUGCUUUAUUUCCCUAUAUCAUUUACUGUCACCUGACAUUUGUAUGCACAAAUAUGUGUAUAUGCUCUCCCCCAUUUCCAAUCAUAAGACCUCCAUGAGUCUAGUGUUUAGCUUUUGUUUCUGUUUUUUUUCUACUUCAUAAUUUUUCCCAGCACCAUAGUAAUGACUGACUUAGUAAUCAUUCCAUUUGAUGAAUAAAUGGGAAUAUCGACAGGCAUUUGUUUGAUCCUUUAGAAGCUUAUCUAAUUUCAUCUAGGCUGUACACAUUGUGUUUUUUUAAUCCACUAAUCUAUUGCUUUGUUGUUGUUUUUUUAAUUAAAUAUUUUACUUAUUUAUUGGAGAGAGAGAGAGAUAGUGAGAGAGAACAGGAGCAGGGAGGAGAGGGAGAAGCAGACUCUCUGCUGAGCAGGGAGCCAACAAGGGGCUCGAUCCCAGGCCUCCUCUGCCAGUGCAGAAUUGACCUCAGUUCAAGGCAUAUUGACUCACUAUAUCCACUAACCUAAGAACCCUAUUCCUCAACUAGCCCAAAGUAGUAGAAGAUUAUUAAAGAAUUGCCAAUAUUCCUUCUUCAUUGGUACUUCUAACAGUUUUUCCCCAUUGUCUUGAGAAACUGAUGUGAACUAGUGAGGCUUUGCAGAAGAUGGACUGUUUUUAUUAUUUUAAUUAAUCCAAUAUCUAUAUGUACAGAAAAGAAAGAAUCCAAUGAAAGACAAUUUACAUGAUAUUGUGUAAUUACAGUAUGCUGGUAAAAGAACGUUUGUCCAAAGUUAUAUCUUUAUGUCCUCGUCACAAAAGCAGCUUGAAUUUGCGUCAAACAAAGCCUUAUCUCAGCUACUGUUACUCUGGAAUACGGUGAGGAGCUUUUAAUGCUGGCCUCCUGGCACACAUACUUUAGAGAAUAGUGUCUGACUCAGGCUAGAGUAGCUCAGAAGGGCUAAAAAAUAAGCCUAUGCAAGUAAAUUCAGAGUACUGAAAAGGCAUUGGUUUUGGUUCAAAUCCUGAGGUGGACAUUUUGGGGCUGUGUGAAUCUCUGCAUUUCUCUAGCCCUUGGGAGAGACCUAAAACAGCACAAUGUAGCAAAAUGAACUCAGAUUUUCUUAGGAGCCAGACCAAUAUCAAAAUCUCUGACCCAUGAUUUGCUUGUCCUGUGAGCUAAGAGAAGUUGUCUAAUUCCUCCAACUUGGAGAUCCAGGAUGAGGUAUCUGACACAGAGUGGAGACUCAGUGAAAAUGGUGGCUUUAUUUGUAGAUUGUCCCAAUUCUGCUUAAUAACGAAAUGUGAGACUUUAGGCAAGUCACUUCAAGUAUGGAUUUUGCUUUCUCAUCUAUAAAAUAAAGAGUUGGACUAGAUUAAUACAUUUUUUAGGUUCCUCUUAUGUCUAACAUUUGAUGAUUCGACUAUAUUUAUACUCUGUAACUCUAUAUCUUCAACUUAACUCACAUGAAUUUCAUUCAUCUUCCUCUGAAUGUUAAUGUUGUUAUCCAUGAAAAUAAGACACUGCAAAGGUGCCCCCUUUGUUCCGCUGGGGUCUGCUUCUUGAUCCUUCAGGCAUGGCCCCGAGCCAUAGUGAGCUCAUUUCUAGCCUGACAGUGAAUGCCUCAUUCUUGCUU
rnacentral:lncRNA from 1 species